AUUGAACGCUGGCGGAAUGCUUUACACAUGCAAGUCGAACGGCAGCACGGACUUCGGUCUGGCGGCGAGUGGCGAACGGGUGAGUAAUGUAUCGGAACGUGCCCAGUCGUGGGGGAUAACGUAGUGAAAAUUACGCUAAUACCGCAUACGAUCUAUGGAUGAAAGCGGGGGAUCGCAAGACCUCGCGCGAUUGGAGCGGCCGAAAUCAGAUUAGGUAGUUGGUGGGGUAAAGGCCCACCAAGCCAACGAUCUGUAGCUGGUCUGAGAGGACGACCAGCCACACUGGAACUGAGACACGGUCCAGACUCCUACGGGAGGCAGCAGUGGGGAAUUUUGGACAAUGGGCGAAAGCCUGAUCCAGCCAUUCCGCGUGCAGGAUGAAGGCCCUCGGGUUGUAAACUGCUUUUGUACAGAACGAAAAGGUUUCUACUAAUACUAGGAGCUCAUGACGGUACUGUAAGAAUAAGCACCGGCUAACUACGUGCCAGCCGCCGCGGUAA
rnacentral:rRNA from 1 species